AAGAGCUCGUAGGUGGUUCGAUACGUCGGAUGUGAAAAUCAGGGGCUCAACCCCUGACCUGCAUCCGAUACGGUCGAGCUAGAGUUUGGUAGGGGAGACUGGAAUUCCUGGUGUAGCGGUGGAAUGCGCAGAUAUCAGGAGGAACACCGAUGGCGAAGGCAGGUCUCUGGGCCAAUACUGACACUGAGGAGCGAAAGCGUGGGGAGCGAACAGGAUUAGAUACCCUGGUAGUCCACGCCGUAAACGGUGGGCGCUAGUUGUGCGAACCUUCCACGGUUUGUGCGACGCAGCUAACGCAUUAAGCGCCCCGCCUGGGGAGUACGAUCGCAAGAUUAAAACUCAAAGGAAUUGACGGGGCCCCGCACAAGCAGCGGAGCAUGCGGCUUAAUUCGACGCAACGCGAAGAACCUUACCAAGGCUUGACAUAUACAGGAAUAUGGCAGAGAUGUCAUAGCCGCAAGGUCUGUAUACAGGUGGUGCAUGGUUGUCGUCAGCUCGUGUCGUGAGAUGUUGGGUUAAGUCCCGCAACGAGCGCAACCCUCGUUCUGUGUUGCCAGCAUUUAGUUGGGGACUCACAGGAGACUGCCGGGGUUAACUCGGAGGAAGGUGGGGAUGACGUCAAAUCAUCAUGCCCCUUAUGUCUUGGGCUGCACGCAUGCUACAAUGGCUGGUACAAACGGCUGCGAUACCGCAAGGUGGAGCGAAUCCGAGAAAGCCAGUCUCAGUUCGGAUUGGGGUCUGCAACUCGACCCCAUGAAGUCGGAGUUGCUAGUAAUCGUAGAUCAGCAACGCUACGGUGAAUACGUUCCCGGGGCUUGUACACACCGCCCGUCACAUCACGAAAGUCGGUAACACCCAAAGUCAGUGGCCCAACCGCAAGGAGGGAGCUGCCAAAGGUGGGAUCGGUGAUUGGGAUGAAGUCGUAACAAGGUA
rnacentral:rRNA from 1 species